rnacentral:lncRNA from 1 species
UAGUGUCGUCUGAUCAUCUUCUAAUCAAGUGAGUGUGUGGUCACUUUCUUCUUACACAUAAAUAUUAAGUAUUUGCUAUGAAAUAUGUAUUAUGUGUAUAUAUAUUUGUUGUUUAUUUGAGAUAAUUGUGGAAUGGAUAAAUUAUAUAGGUUUUAAUGAGUUAAACCAUAUACGUAUUUUGUAUCUACGAAUAUAUUGGGUAGAACAUUGGUAGACGAGAUUCUUGGUAUGGGAUAAAAGAUGAUUUGGAUCAUAAGAUAUAAGGGUAAAGAGAUAAACUUGUUACAGAUUCGGGAGUAUGGAUUAGAUCAAGAGGUUAUUUUUAGAUUCGGGAAUAUGGAUUAGGUAAUGAGGUAAAUGUUAGAUCCAAGAGUACGGAUUAUGUAUUUUUGAACUAAGUGUUCAUCCGACAGGGUAUCAUGUGCAUAGUCCCUUUCAUGGACAUAAUUUUAAUACAAGUAUUCAUUAAAGUGUUAAUUAUAUAUGUAUGUGAAGUAUUUGUUAUUGCCCGAAAUACGUGUUAUAUAUAUAAUUGAUGAUAUACAACGUACGUACCAGUUAUGGUCCCAUAUGUGUUAAGAUGUGUAUAUCUUACUUAAAAUUUUGUGUUAAGUAUACUCGUAGUUAGCGUUUCCAAAUGGGGAUAGUAUCGAAAAUUGAUUAUAGGCAUCGUAGGCUUGCCUAGUGAUGGGUUAAGACUUAAAUAGGGAUGUUUAGUUCCAUUAAGUUUGGACAUUGGGUAGCAUCUUAUUAAGAGUACGUGUGUUGUGAGAUUAAUGAUCGGUGGAGUACAUCCUACGAACAGAAGUACAUUUUAUGUAUGAAGUCCUUUUCAAAGCUCUGUGUCAUCUUUAUCAUAAUUUGGGAACAAAUUCCGCAACUGUUUUCUUUAAAAGAUUACUCUGAUUUUUAAAACAAAGCAUAAACAAAUCAGUCUUUUCUGGUCGUGAAAUUGGGGAUGUCACAUAGUCAAAGUACCUAAUUGGACAAGGUGUUGAAACGGUUCAGUAUAGAGAAUUCCAAGAAUGGUGACUUACCCAUCUAAGGAAAUACCGAACCGAGUAAGACUCAAAGUCCGAGUACAGAGGCUGAGAUAACUGAGAUGACUCAAGCACCAUCUUCUUCCGCAGUUGGCUCGAUCAUCUAUGAUAUGACUUGUACUCGCCCUGAUGUGGCCUUUGCUUUGAGUAUGGUCAACAAAUAUCAAGGGAAUCCUGGUAAAGCUCACUGGGUAGAACAUUGGUAGAUGAGAUUCUUGGUAUGGGAUAAAAGAUGAUUUGGAUCAUAAGAUAUAAGGGUUAAGAGAUAAACUUGUUACAGAUUCGGGAGUAUGGAUUAGAUCAAGAGGUUAUUUUUAGAUUGGGGAAUAUGGAUUAGGUAAUGAGGUAAAUGUUAGAUCCAAGAGUACGGAUUAUGUAUUUUUGAACUAAGUGUUCAUCCGACAGGGUAUCAUGUUCAUAGUCCCUUUCAUGGAUAUAAUUUUAAUACAAGUAUUGAUUAAAGUGUUAAUUAUAUAUAUNUAUAUAUAUAUAUAUAUAUGUGAAGUAUUUGUGAUUGCCUGAAAUACGUGUUAUAUAUAUAAUUGAUGAUAUACAACGUACGUACCAGUUAUGGUCCCAUAUGUGUUAAGAUGUUUAUAUCUUACUUACAACUUUGUGUUAAGUAUACUCGUAGUUAGCGUUUCCAAAUGGGGUUAGUAUCGAAAAUUGAUUAUAGGCAUCGUAGGCUUGCCUAGUGAUGGGUUAAGACUUAAAUAGGGAUGUUUAGUUCCAUUAAGUUUGGACAUUGGGUAGCAUCUUAUUAAGAGUACGUGUGUUGUGAGAUUAAUGAUCGGUGGAGUACAUCCUACGAACAGAAGUACAUUUUAUGUAUGAAGUCCUUUUCAAAGCUCUGUGUCAUCUUUAUCAUAAUUUGGGAACAAAUUCCGCAACUGUUUUCUUUAAAAGAUUACUCUGAUUUUUAAAACAAAGCAUAAACAAAUCAGUCUUUUCUGGUCGUGAAAUUGGGGAUGUCACAUAGUCAAAGUACCUAAUUGGACAANAGACUGCCUAAUAAAGUGUGUCGGUAAUAGACCACUGCUAGGUAUGUCUGGUGUUAUAUUGCUGGAUAGGGUGCGUCUGGGGGUGAAAUACAUCAUGUAUUCAGACCACAACCUAGGCAUUAGUCGGUGUUUCCAUUUCUGAUACUGGAUAGGGUGAGUCUGCGGGUUCAGACCACAACCUAGGCAUUAGUCAGCGUUUUCAUUGACGGAUAGGGUGCGUCUGGGGGCUACAUACCUCAUGAUAUUCAGACCACAGCCUAGGCAUUGAUAACUACCCUUGACUUAAUUGUCUUGUUUUUCUUUCUUUUAUGAACGAAGGUUCCUGGUGAAACUGAUUCCAUUCCCCUCAUUUAAUGUCUUUAUUGAUCCUCGUUUGCUGCUAGGGAAUUUCCAAAGUAGCUUCGUCAGUUUGUUGUUCAUAUCAAUUCCUUAGGCUAGAUCUCGUAAGACCAUAGUACAGGGUCAGUAUGUGGGGAUCGAUGGGACGGGAUAGAUUGUUUUAGAAAUAUGAUUUAUAUGUGUUAAUACUAUUAGCGGUUUUGCAGGAUCGAGAUAUACAUUAUUAUCACAUGGUUUGAACUAAAAGCUUUCGUACUCUGUGUUCCUUAGGCGAUUCAGUUCGCGAGGGAUAUUUGAACUAUGUGUUCAUUAGGUGUUUUUGAUAUUGGUGUUCAUUAGGUAUUAUUGAACGGAGGGUGUUCAAUGGGUGUUCUUGAACUAGGUGUUCAUUAAUUAUUUUGAACUGCAUGUUCACCAUAGUAAUCUAAGAACCAUGAUAGCACUAGACUUUGUGCCAAUUCCUUAGGGCAAUUCUUAGGAAUGAAUGGGAGAAGAGUAAUCGGUUCUUAGGGUAAAUCUCUAUGAAAUAAAUGGAGAUAAUGGGGGUGGGUAUUUGAACUGAUUGUUUGAUAAUUGAAUAUAAUAAUUAUAUUAUUGUGGGUUGAAAACCCUAUAUGCUCACCAGGCUCCCAAGCCUGACCCACUCAGUUUUCUUUAUAUCACAGGUAUUAAUACGAAGAUAUAUUUCACGGAGAGAUUAAAGGAGAUGUAAAAUCUUUUGUGUAAAUAAUGUAAGUUCUGUUUAUGCUUAUGUGUCUGUAUCGGAACAUGACAUCCCGAUAUUUUGUUAUAUAGUGAAAAUACAUUUCUUUAAAUAAAUUCUUUGAUAAAUCUUUAUCAUAAUUUGGGAACAAAUUUCGCAACUGUUUUCUUUAAAAGAUUACUCUGAUUUUUAAAACAAAGCAUAAACAAAUCGGUCUUUUCUGGCCAUGAAAUUAGGGAUGUCAUAGUUGGUAUCAGAGCAUUUGUUUAAGCGAACUAGGAAUCUGUAGGAAAUUUCUAGACUUAAACAUAGAAUGCUAAGUAUUGAUCGUGAGGAGUGUGUCUAAAAUAUGUUAGGUAGUACACCUAAAUUGACACAAGCACUAGUUUAUUUUAGGAAUGAUGCCUAAAAUGCUUUUACAUGCUAAAUGUGAUAUGUUGCCAUAUAUGAUAUUAUUUGUUCGGAUCUAUGGUCUGUUGCCAACCGGAUCAGGAAAGCUUAUGUGUUUAGGAUUCUAUGCGUAUGCUUACGAUAUUAGAACAAGCAUGUAAGCGUUUCAGGGUGAUAAAGAGAUUUAUACAUUUAUCGUAAUUAAAGCUUUCUUAUCUUAAAUUCUCGCUUGGUACACCGAACAUUUGCUUGGGUGUACGAAAGGUCACGGUGAAGACACGUAGGGAAUUAAGUAAAUGGAAGAAAUGAAAAGGCUUAUGAUAGUGAAUGACACCUAUCGGAAGAUAUAGUAAGAGUGGUAUCUUGCCUUUUAAAAGUCUUAUAAGAUAACAGUGUGUUUAAAGGAGUACGGUACGUCUAAAGUACACCUUCGAUGGGCAGGAUGAUGGAACGAUUGGUGAAAUUCUUGAAGUUGUCUCAUCGUCUGGUAUUUCCAUCACCAAUCGAGUUGAAGUAGAGUUGAUGAUUGAAGAUUGAAAAAUGAAGAAGUCCUAGUAGAGUCUAGGGAAAUUGUUUAUGAUUAUUUGGACACAUUCAUAUGUGUUAAAUUGUUUUGUGAUUUUCUUGUAUGGUGACUUGGUUGACUGCGGGACAAUACUUGGGACGAGUAUGAGUAGGUGUUAAAGGUAGUAGAUGCAUAUACUACCGGAGGCACAGGACUCGCACUUGGAUCAGGGAAAGUCACAAGGUUACCAAGAAGCUAGUGAUUGAUUCCGUUUUAUUCGAGUAUGUCAUUACCCUUGUUUCAGUAAUGACUAGUGAGAUUGUUUUUAUUCCAACCCUAGUGGUAAUAUAAAUUUGAGUUCGACUGCGAUGAAUAUGUUACGUGGUCUAGAGAACCAAGUUAGAUGUAACAUCCGACUUAAGUCAGAAGGUUGAAAUUAAUACGAUCGAUAGUAUCGCGCUCGUUGUUAAAAGAAGUUUGCAGGUAGAAAUGAUACAUGCUGAAAUGUAAUUAUAUCACAUUAGAAUAUGGAGGAAGGCAUAUUUCAUUUGGAAUUUAACUAAAAAAGAUCGAGUCUAAGCGUCGCAUCAUGUGAUGAGAGGUCAAUAGAGAAUGACCCAUCGAUCUGUUGCAAUAGAUAAAUGAAAAUAUUUAUCCUAGGAAGAAGAAGGAGUCCACAAUAAGGACUUAUUUGGUAACUUGAAUACUACAAUUGAAAGUACAACAUAGUACGAUAAGCAGAUGCAAGAUUGGGCAUUGUCUGCGGUCAAGAAAGCCACAAAGUUAAAUACUCUUUCGAGUAAACAUAGAAGUUACAGUUAUUUCCUAGGAUGAAGAAAUAACGCGUGGAAUCAUUAUGCAAGUCCUAUUUCAUUGAUGAUUCCGGGACGUAAUCAUCCUAAGGGGGGCAUAAUUGUAACGCCCAUAGAUCCGGUCUAGUCAAUCUAGAGACGAUAAGCAUCAAAAAAUGACUUUUUGAUGGAAGAUUAUUUAGAAGGGUUAAUCUUAACUAAAAUUAAUAGUAUAUAUUGCAAGGAUUCCACACAUAUAAAGAACGCCGAAUCUGACUUCGUAUGAGGAAGUUAUGAUUUUUCUAAGUUUUGACUUAACGGUAUGCAGCUCGAAUACUCGAUUUGAGAUCGAGCGGUUUUUAACCAAAACAAUCUAAACGGGAAUCGAAGAUCUCGUCAAUUGUAGUGAAACGAUAAAAAGAUAGGCGAAAACGGACGUCGGAUGAAGAAUUUAUGAAUUUAUAACGGAGUUUUCCUAUCCCGGCCUACUAAAAAUAAUAUAAUAAAAAUAAAUUCAAAAUUAGCCAACGAAGUCUAAAUGAAAGUUGUAGAGCAUAAUCUCACCUACGCGCGGAUAUAAAGAACAUCGAAAGCGAAGCUCGUAUGCGAAAGUUAUGAAUUUUUGAAGAUCAUGGCACGCAUACCAAAGCUUAUCCGAAGAUUAUGACCAACGUACUCUAUGUACGCCCAGCGUAUUGAUUACGCCCAGCGUACUCCAAAAUUAUGUCCAGCGUAAUCCCAGACCCAUCAGCUUAUAAAUAGAAACUGAGAUCAGUCGAUUCUUUUUCCAUUUUUCUUCCUUUCUCUCUAGUUUUUGCCUCGAUUUGCGUGCCAACUAUAUCCCGAAGCCCUGAUAUCAUUCCCGAGCCUCGAAAGCAAGUUCCGAAGUCCCGAAGAUCUCGAGAAGUGAGAUUCCCGAGCAGAAGCCCUGCCCGCGAGGAGCCCGAUUUUUUGUGAAGAUCUUCCAGAUCUACCCAAGAAUACUACUUCUACAAGUCGUAGUGCCGUCCGAUCAUCUUCUAAUCAAGUGAGUGUGUGGUCACUUUCUUCUUACACAUAAAUAUUAAGUAUUUGCUAUGAAAUAUGUAUGAUGUGUAUAUAUAUUUGUUGUUUAUUUGAGAUAAUUGUGGAAUGGAUAAAUUAUAUAGGUUUUAAUGAGUUAAACCGUAUACGUAUUUUGUAUCUACGAAUAUAUUGGGUAGAACGUUGGUAGAUGAGAUUCUUGGUAUGGGAUAAAAGAUGAUUUGGAUCAUAAGAUAUAAGGGUAAAGAGAUAAACUUGUUAUAGAUUCGGGAGUAUGGAUUAGAUCAAGAGGUUAUUUUUAGAUUCGGGAAUAUGGAUUAGGUAAUGAGGUAAAUGUUAGAUCCAAGAGUGCGGAUUAUGUAUUUUUGAACUAUGUGUUCAUCCGACAGGGUAUCAUGUGCAUAGUCCCUUUCAUGGACAUAAUUUUAAUACAAGUAUUCAUUAAAGUGUUAAUUAUAUAUGUAUGUGAAGUAUUUGUUAUUGCCCGAAAUACGUGUUAUAUAUAUAAUUGAUGAUAUACAACGUACGUACCAGUUAUGGUCCCAUAUGUGUUAAGAUGUGUAUAUCUUACUUAAAACUUUGUGUUAAGUAUACUCGUAGUUAGCGUUUCCAAAUGGGGAUAGUAUCGAAAAUUGAUUAUAGGCAUCGUAGGCUUGCCUAGUGAUGGGUUAAGACUUAAAUAGGGAUGUUUAGUUCCAUUAAGUUUGGACAUUGGGUAGCCUCUUAUUAAGAGUACGUGUGUUGUGAGAUUAAUGAUCGGUGGAGUACAUCCUACGAACAGAAGUACAUUUUAUGUACGAAGUCCUUUUCAAAGCUCUGUGUCAUGGGUGCUGCUUAUGCCAGAAGUACUAUCAUGUACAAAGUCUUUUGACAAUUUUGUGUGUCGGUUACGGGAGCGUACGGGAAUACUCUAUUAGUAUUUUCCCAU